UGGGGAAUUUUGGACAAUGGGGGAAACCCUGAUCCAGCCAUCCCGCGUGUGCGUUGAAGGCCUUCGGGUUGUAAAGCACUUUUGGCAGGAAAGAAACGUCAUGGGUUAAUACCCCGUGAAACUGACGGUACCUGCAGAAUAAGCACCGGCUAACUACGUGCCAGCAGCCGCGGUAAUACGUAGGGUGCAAGCGUUAAUCGGAAUUACUGGGCGUAAAGCGUGCGCAGGCGGUUCGGAAAGAAAGAUGUGAAAUCCCAGAGCUAAACUUUGGAACUGCAUUUUUAACUACCUGGCUAGAGUGUGUCAGAGGGAGGUGGAAUUCCGCGUGUAGCAGUGAAAUGCGUAGAUAUGCGGAGGAACACCGAUGGCGAAGGCAGCCUCCUGGGAUAACACUGACGCUCAUGCACGAAAGCGUGGGGAGCAAACAGG
rnacentral:rRNA from 1 species